GACGUAGGGCGCGAGCGUUGUCCGGAUUUAUUGGGCGUAAAGAGCUCGUAGGCGGCUCGUUGCGUCGGCUGUGAAAACCCGCAGCUCAACUGUGGGCUUGCAGCUGAUACGGGCGGGCUGGGAUUCGGUAGGGGAGACUGGAAUUCCUGGUGUAGCGGUGAAAUGCGCAGAUAUCAGGAGGAACACCGAUGGCGAAGGCAGGUCUCUGGGCAUUAACUGACGCUGAGGAGCGAAAGCAUGGGGAGCGAACAGG
rnacentral:rRNA from 1 species